rnacentral:rRNA from 1 species
UACGGAGGAUCCAAGCGUUAUCCGGAAUCAUUGGGUUUAAAGGGUCCGUAGGCGGUUUUGUAAGUCAGUGGUGAAAGCCCAUCGCUCAACGGUGGAACGGCCAUUGAUACUGCAAGACUUGAAUUAUUGGGAAGUAACUAGAAUAUGUAGUGUAGCGGUGAAAUGCUUAGAGAUUACAUGGAAUACCAAUUGCGAAGGCAGGUUACUACCAAUAUAUUGACGCUGAUGGACGAAAGCGUGGGGGGCGAACAGG